rnacentral:rRNA from 1 species
GACGAACGCUGGCGGCGUGCCUAAUACAUGCAAGUAGAACGCUGAAGAGAGGAGCUUCUCUUCUUGGAUGAGUUGCGAACGGGUGAGUAACGCGUAGGUAACCUGCCUGGUAGCGGGGGAUAACUAUUGGAAACGAUAGCUAAUACCGCAUGAAAUGGAUUAUCGCAUGAUAAUCGAUUGAAAGGUGCAAAUGCAUCACUACCAGAUGGACCUGCGUUGUAUUAGCUAGUUGGUGGGGUAACGGCUCACCAAGGCGACGAUACAUAGCCGACCUGAGAGGGUGAUCGGCCACACUGGGACUGAGACACGGCCCAGACUCCUACGGGAGGCAGCAGUAGGGAAUCUUCGGCAAUGGACGGAAGUCUGACCGAGCAACGCCGCGUGAGUGAAGAAGGUUUUCGGAUCGUAAAGCUCUGUUGUAAGAGAAGAACGAAGCUUGAAAAUAUUGAAGUUUGGGUGAACGGUACCCAAGCGAGG